CUAAAGGAAUGGAUUGGGCCAUUCAAUUUCUUUUCUUCUCUAUUCCAUUUCCUUUCCCUCUCCCUACUCCUUUGACUGUGGACCAAACAUGUUUGUUAUUCUUGUUAAUAAAACCAUUCGAUUCAUCUACCAAGGGCAAUUAGUCAACUAAAUUAUCAAUCAUGCAUCAGAUCAUUCCGCAACAUUAUACCGAACUCCAAGAAAAAGAGCCUGAGACGCAGUGUGCAAACUCAAACUCUAGACCCUCGUUCUGAUUCUGACGGCCACAGAAAAGGAAAACACAAAAGAAAGUAUUGUUUGCUUUCCAACUUCAAAAGACUCUUUUCAUGGUGUGUGAAAGAAAUUCAGGGAAGGGACCCCUGCCGAAAUGAAUUUUGGCUCUUUACUCUGAAAGUUGAACCCUUAUCCUCACGCUCACGGGGAAGGUUUAAAUAUAUUUUCUUUUAAUCAGAGAGCAAACUGAAUAUCAAGACUCUAGAAUUGUUUUUCAUAGUGGCACGAACAUGUGCUUAAAAUGAGAUUUGACCUUUGCUUGUUUGUAACUAAUAAAUUUAAGGUCAAUAUGCCAGUCUUAAAUUCUAGGGGUAACAAUUGAUUUAAUUUUAUAUAAACAGGGCAGUGAAAAACUAUUAAGUUUUACUCA